AUUGAACGCUGGCGGCAGGCCUAACACAUGCAAGUCGAGCGAGCGGCGGACGGGUGAGUAAUGUCUGGGAAACUGCCUGAUGGAGGGGGAUAACUACUGGAAACGGUAGCUAAUACCGCAUACCAUCAGAUGUGCCCAGAUGGGAUUAGCUAGUAGGUGGAGGAACGGCUCACCUAGGCGACGAUCCCUAGCUGGUCUGAGAGGAUGACCAGCCACACUGCAACUGAGACCCUGUACAGACUCCUACGGGAGGAAGCAGUGGGGAAUAUUGAACAAUGUGCGCAAGCCUGAUGCUGCCAUUCCGCGUGUGUGAAGAAGGCCUUCGGGUUGUAAAGCACUUUCAGCGGGGAGGCGUUACCCGCAGAAGAAGCACCGGCUAACUCCGUGCCAGCAGCCGCGGUAAUUC
rnacentral:rRNA from 1 species